rnacentral:rRNA from 1 species
GACGAACGCUGGCGGCGUGCUUAACACAUGCAAGUCGAACGGAAAGGCUCCAGCUUGCUGGAGUACUCGAGUGGCGAACGGGUGAGUAACACGUGGGUGAUCUGCCCUGCACUUCGGGAUAAGCCUUGGAAACUGGGUCUAAUACCGGAUAGGACCGCACUUUGGUGUGUGUGGUGGAAAGGUUUUUCUGGUUUGGGAUGAGCUCGCGGGCUAUCAGUUUGUUGGUGGGGUAAUGGCCUACCAAGACGUCGACGGGUAGCCGGCCUGAGAGGGUGGACGGUCACAUUGGGACUGAGAGACGGCCCAGACUCCUACUGGAGGCAGCAGUGGGGAAUAUUGCACAAGGGGGGAAACCCGGAUGCAGCGACGCCGCGUGGGGGAUGAAGGCCUUCGGGUUGUAAACUCCUUUCGCUAGGGACGAAGCUUUUUGUGACGGUACCUGGAGAAGAAGCACCGGCUAACUACGUG